UACGGAGGGUGCGAGCGUUGUCCGGAAUCACUGGGCGUAAAGGGCGCGUAGGCGGCAUGCCAAGCGUGUGGUGAAAGCCCGGGGCUCAACCCCGGGUCGGCCGUGCGGACUGGCGUGCUCGAGCACUGUAGGGGCGGGUGGAAUUCCGGGUGUAGCGGUGGAAUGCGUAGAGAUCCGGAAGAACACCGGUGGCGAAGGCGGCCCGCUGGGCAGGAAGGCUCGCAAGAGCCGGCUGACGCUGAGGCGCGACAGCGUGGGGAGCAAACACGG
rnacentral:rRNA from 1 species